CGUCAUCGAACGGAAAAAGGUCCAAAUGAAGUUCUUUUGCGACUUCCUAGAGACGAUGUCUGGGAAGGAGAACUGGAAAAAAAGCUGUUUCUAAGGUUCCCCGGCUGCUGGACAUGGUGGUGUCCCGGGAUGUACCUUUGGGCUCACUGACCGAUUCCGGCCACGUCAUCACCUUUCCUGGGUUUGCCCGGCAGUUCGUGCCCAAACCGCCUAGGAGACCUCUCAAGCACUGGGGAAGAGUCCUGGUGAGGACAGCUGGAAGCACAGGAGAAUGCUGAGAGCUCUCAGGCAGGACGCAAAAGGGGCAUUUGGUGAACUGCCAUCGCCUACUGCUUCUAGCUUGAGCCAUAUUGAAAUGUCAAAGCUCCGGGAAAAAAAGAACAUGGUGGCACAGAAGAAGUCUCGACCCAGGUG